rnacentral:rRNA from 1 species
AGAGUUUGAUCCUGGCUCAGGAUGAACGCUGGCGGCAUGCCUAAUACAUGCAAGUCGAACGAGAGGAAGGAAAGCUUGCUUUUCUGAAUCUAGUGGCGAACGGGUGAGUAACACGUAGGUAACCUGCCCAUGUGCCCGGGAUAACUUCUGGAAACGGAUGCUAAAACCGGAUAGGUAGCAGACAAGCAUUUGACUGCUAUUAAAGUGGCUAAGGCCAUGAACAUGGAUGGACCUGCGGUGCAUUAGCUAGUUGGUGAGGUAACGGCCCACCAAGGCGACGAUGCAUAGCCGGCCUGAGAGGGCGGACGGCCACAUUGGGACUGAGACACGGCCCAAACUCCUACGGGAGGCAGCAGUAGGGAAUUUUCGUCAAUGGGGGGAACCCUGAACGAGCAAUGCCGCGUGAGUGAGGAAGGUCUUCGGAUCGUAAAGCUCUGUUGUAAGAGAAAAACGAUAUUCAUAGGGAAUGAUGAGUGAGUGAUGGUAUCUUACCAGAAAGUCACGGCUAACUACGUGCCAGCAGCCGCGGUAAUACGUAGGUGGCGAGCGUUAUCCGGAAUGAUUGGGCGUAAAGGGUGCGUAGGUGGCAGAACAAGUCUGGAGUAAAAGGUAUGGGCUCAACCCGUACUGGCUCUGGAAACUGUUCAGCUAGAGAACAGAAGAGGACGGCGGAACUCCAUGUGUAGCGGUAAAAUGCGUAGAUAUAUGGAAGAACACCGGUGGCGAAGGCGGCCGUCUGGUCUGUUGCUGACACUGAAGCACGAAAGCGUGGGGAGCAAAUAGGAUUAGAUACCCUAGUAGUCCACGCCGUAAACGAUGAGAAC